AUUGAACGCUGGCGGAAUGCUUUACACAUGCAAGUCGAACGGCAGCACGGACUUCGGUCUGGUGGCGAGUGGCGAACGGGUGAGUAAUGUAUCGGAACGUGCCCAGUCGUGGGGGAUAACGUAGUGAAAAUUACGCUAAUACCGCAUACGAUCUAUGGAUGAAAGCGGGGGAUCGCAAGACCUCGCGCGAUUGGAGCGGCCGAUAUCAGAUUAGGUAGUUGGAGGGGUAAAGGCCCACCAAGCCAACGAUCUGUAGCUGGUCUGAGAGGACGACCAGCCACCCUGGAACUGCGACACGGUCCAGACUCCUACGGGAGGCAGCAGUGUGGAAUUUUGGACAAUGGGCGAAAGCCUGAUCCAGCCAUUCCGCGUGCAGGAUGAAGGCCCUCGGGUUGUAAACUGCUUUUGUACAGAACGAAAAGGUUUCUACUAAUACUAGGAGCUCAUGACGGUACUGUAAGAAUAGGCACCGGCUAACUACGUGCCAGCCGCCGCGGUAA
rnacentral:rRNA from 1 species